rnacentral:rRNA from 1 species
UACGUAGGCGGCAAGCGUUGUCCGGAUUUACUGGGCGUAAAGAGCGCGCAGGCGGUCGACCAAGUCGCGUGUGAAAGCCCCCGGCUCAACUGGGGAGGGUCACGCGAUACUGAUCGACUCGAAGGCAGGAGAGGGUAGUGGAAUUCCCGGUGUAGUGGUGAAAUGCGUAGAUAUCGGGAGGAACACCAGUGGCGAAGGCGACUACCUGGCCUGUUCUUGACGCUGAGGCGCGAAAGCUAGGGGAGCAAACGGG